AGAGACCGGCGCACGGGUGCGUAACGCGUAUGCAAUCUACCUUUUACAGGGGAAUAGCCCAGAGAAAUUUGGAUUAAUGCCCCAUAGUAUAAUUGAAUGGCAUCAUUUAAUUAUUAAAGUCACAACGGUAAAAGAUGAGCAUGCGUCCCAUUAGUUAGUUGGUAAGGUAACGGCUUACCAAGACAAUGAUGGGUAGGGGUCCUGAGAGGGAGAUCCCCCACACUGGUACUGAGACACGGACCAGACUCCUACGGGAGGCAGCAGUGAGGAAUAUUGGUCAAUGGACGCAAGUCUGAACCAGCCAUGCCGCGUGCAGGAUGACGGUCCUAUGGAUUGUAAACUGCUUUUGUACGAGAAGAAACACUCCUUCGUGAAGGAGCUUGACGGUAUCGUAAGAAUAAGGAUCGGCUAACUCCGUGCCAGCAGCCGCGGUAAUACGGAGGAUCCAAGCGUUAUCCGGAAUCAUUGGGUUUAAAGGGUCCGUAGGCGGUUUAGUAAGUCAGUGGUGAAAGCCCAUCGCUCAACGGUGGA
rnacentral:rRNA from 1 species